GCAGCGCCCCCCACCCCUUGGAGCGGCCACCCUCUGCCAGCGGCGCGCACUAGGUUUCUACCACACCGCCGCGACCCCCGCUCCGGUUAGGGCAGGUGCGCCGGCGCCGGCGGCAAGACUGGUGGUGGUGGUGGUAGGUAGAGUUCUUAUCACCCACCCUCGCAGCGGAGUUGUGAGGGCAAAAGCUGACUUUGAAAGGGUGGCGGUGGGGCUGCAGCUCGAGAGAAGGGAAUGUGAUUGCGGAGCGGGAGGGGCCGCGGGGUCGUUCUGCUGAGCCGCACUACCGCUGGAGAGACGACGCGGCUCGGGAAGCGCAAGAAACCGAAUAGUCCAGCCGGUACUGAAUUGUAAACAUGAGCUGCCACACCUAGCUUGAAGUAGAUGUUUGUGAGAAGAGACAAAGCAUCAUCUACUCUAGAAAGUGUGUCCGGACUGUGACCUGUCUCCACUGAAGCCUUUCCAGCUGCUGCUCUCCGUGGGCCUAUCAUUUUCCUGUUUCUCCAUCACCAAAUAAUGUCUGUAUACUUAACUACAGUUUGAUGGGGUCUCCUGCCUAGGAGAACACAGGCUCCACAGCAGGUAUGCUGGACGGUAGAUGAAGCGCCCUCCUGGGCUCAGGCACUUCAGGGCCGGGUUCUGCACUGUGUUCUCCUGACUCCCCAGUGAUGUGUACCUGGAGUGUUGAAACAGGAGCACGUGGAUAAUAGGGUUUUGAUGGCUGCUUGGAGCUCAGGGUGUGGUUUGAGCUCCUCCCCAAAGGCCCGUGCCACUGCCUCAAAUGUUACAUCGUCAUGAGUGGGGCCGAUGCCUCCUGCAGUGAGGACAUGAGUGAAGCGGCUGGAGAAUGAGGUGACCUCAGCUGCAAUGGUGGCUACCUCAUCAGGUACAAUAGAGACUCGGCAAACCUGGACCCCCAGGGAGCGCAGUGUCCGGCACAGAAAGCUGGGCCUUAGCACCUUUCCCCCGGACAAUGCUGACAGCCUCCAGCCACUAUGCUCUGUUCCCUGUCCUCUAAGGAACCUUUCUAAUGUGCCACGGCGAUCACUGAAUCACUUCUGUGCUCAAAAACACGUGUUGUUUCCAAAUGCAUACAGAAUAAAGUUCAAAUCCUUUUGCAAUCAUUAAA